UGAGACUGAGAUUUGGGGCUGUCUCAGGCCCAUGCAAGCUACCUGUUGUAAUUAAAACUUAAAUCCCUAUUAUAGCUAUGGCUGCGAGGAGAAAAGUGCUAACAUAAAAACAUUUCAGAGAAAAUUGAGGGGACAUGGUAUGUGCCUGUUUGUGUCAAACUCUUUGCUGUUUGUCAUGUUUGUGACAGAAGAGACGCCCGUGUCAUUUACAAAGCUGGUCAAAUCAGCCCCCAAAGUGUAUGUCCACAGACACAGCUUCAAAAUCACAUACUGCAGGAAGUCCUAGGUAGGUUGGUGAUGAAAGUUUAGCCAAAAUAAAGAAGCACCCUUCAGGGCUGAGACAUAAUAAAAUAAAAUUCAAGUGAAGUUGGAGAUUUAAAUUUCCUGAUGUUUAAAAAAAGUCUCUAAAAGUGGCCCCACACUAUGUUUUUUUUCCUGAAUUGACUUUUGUGCAAAAAGCAUCACUUUCUUCCAUGGCUCCCACCUUUUUAGUCCCUGUCUUCCUCACGCCACUUGCCUUGGUCUUCUCUCUAACAAACGCAAUCUUGUUUUCUCCUGCCCUUGGAAGUUU
rnacentral:lncRNA from 1 species